GGGGUGUAUAGCUCUGUGGUGGAGCAUUCGACUGCAGAUCGAGAAGUAUUCGGUUCAAACCUGGAUGCCCUCU